rnacentral:tRNA from 1 species
GCGCCGCUAGCUCAACGGUAGAGCUACGCACUCUUGAUGCGUAGGUUCAGGGUUCGAGUCCCUGGCGGCGUA